rnacentral:tRNA from 1 species
GGGAAGGUGGCUCAGUGGUAGAGCGCUUGCCUUGCAUGCAAGAGGCCCUAGGUUCAAUUCCUCAGUACCA